GGAUAGUAAACAUAGGAGACAGGUUUCCAGCUUCUGAACGAUCUCAUUAUUGGAAUGAUCACUGCUCAGCUCUUUGUAUCCACUCAUUCCAGAGAUCCUGGCUUUCUGGCUUUUCACGUUCUAGGGUGGGGUAGCAGCUUAUCAUUCCAUUGUCUUUUCUGCUUCAGUCAAC
ensembl:misc_RNA